rnacentral:lncRNA from 1 species
GACGCGAGGAAAGAACUACUAAAAGAUCAACAUCUCAACGAUGAUAAAACUUCUAUUGAGGAAAAUGGGCCAAAAUCUAUUUUAAACCGUCUCAACGAUGAGAAGUUCGAUCCCAAACGUCCCGAGUUGUUUGGUUAUCAUUACGACGACGAUGAUAAAAAAGACAAGGCAUCAUCAUUUGAGAAGUUCGAUUCCAAACGUCCUGAGUUUUUUGGUUAUCAUUACGACGACAAUGAUAAAAAAGACAAGUCAACGUCAUUUGAGAAGUUCGAUCCCAAACGUCCUGAGUUCCUUCACUAUGGUUACAACGAUGAUGAUAAAAAAGACAAGUCAACGUCAUUUGAGAAGUUCGAUCCCAAACGUCCUGAGUUCCUUCACUAUGGUUACAACGAUGAUGAUAAAAAAGACAAGUCAACGUCAUUUGAGAAGUUCGAUCCUAAACGUCCUGAGUUCUUUCACUAUGGUUACAAUGAUGAUGAUAAAAAAGACAAGUCAACGUCAUUUGAGAAGUUCGAUCCUAAACGUCCUGAGUUCUUUCACUAUGGUUACAAUGAUGAUGAUAAAAAAGACAAGUCAACGUCAUUUGAGAAGUUCGAUCCUAAACGUCCUGAGUUCCUUCACUAUGGUUACAACGAUGAUGAUAAACAAGACAAGUCAACAUCAUUUGAGAAGUUCGAUCCUAAACGUCCUGAGUUCCUUCACUAUAGUUACAACGACGAUGAUAAAAAAGAUAAGUCAACGUCAUUUGAGAAGUUCGAUCCUAAACGUCCUGAGUUCCUUCACUAUGGUUACAACGAUGAUGAUAACACUGACAAAUUAUCAUCUGUUCAAAAUUUUGAGCGUUGGGUUCCUCUUCCAUCAUUUCAUUAUACUUACAGCGACGAUGAUAACACAGAGAAAUCAUCGUCAUUUGAGAAAUUUGAUCCCAAACAUAAGAACUUGCUUCACUAUCACUACAACGACAACAAAGAAAAAUCAUCACCGCUCGAGCAUAAUAAGCCGUCGUCUCUUAUUGAAGAGAUCCCAGGCGGCAACAAUGAUCAUAAGGAGACCAUGUAAAUUAGGCAUCCAGAGGAGCAUAUGGGUUUUAAUGAAAUUGUAUAAUGUUUUAUGUAUUUAAACGUUAUGUCCUCUAUGUAUGGGAGUGCUUACUUAUUAAAGAAAAAUAAAAAUGGCGUCGCCAUAUAUGAUAAUUGAAUAAAAGUAACACUUCAUUUCCUUCCUCUUUUCUCAAGCAAUUUAGUUUUCUUUAUCUAUUGUCUUUGUUCGUAGCUAAACACACAAGGUUGCCAAUUUAGUCGGAUUAUGAUAAAAUAUAUGUAUUAUUAUAUAUAUUUAACUUUAAAAAUAAUAAUUAACGAUAUGUGUAAAGGAGAACAUCAAAAUCCUAGCAACUUUCUCUCUCUUUUUUUUUUCCAUUGCAAUCGUUUUCUUCUUUCUCCAUCAAAAGCCAAGAAUCAAGCAUGUAGGUUUAUAUAUAUAUAUAUAUAAACCUGUAACUUACAUUAUUUUAAUGACAUUGUAGAUUUAUACAUUGAAUAGUAUUACUGAUUUAUUUAGUAGAAUCAAUAGUGUAAUUUUCCUUUGAAUUCUAGAAUAUAAAUAUAUUUUUCUUUUUCCUAGUAAGUGCAUUCUUGUGCUUAUAAUUUUUUUUAGCAUUAAAUAUUUUGUUUUUUAAAAGCCUAUAAAUCCUGAUCUCAAAACAGGUAAUUUUUCGUGUUAAUAUCAUAUUUUUUAAUGAAAAAUCCUUACCAUUUAUCAAAUCUCAUGUAAUUAUUGCCUUUUGGUUUGUGGUUGUGGUUUAUAUGUAAUUUCUUAAGUACUUUGGAUAUGUUCGGACAAAAUUUGUUGUUUUGAUAGCUAUUUAUUAUUUGAAUAAUAUUUAAUGGUCAGUUGUUUUAGUAGUUUUUCAUAAAAUGAUAAAAGUUAAACGUUACAUGAGUUAACUUUUUAAAUAUUAAAUUAUAUAACGAGAUUGAAUUAUUUGAAAGUACAUGAAAUAUACAUAAUAUAAAUGGUUCAAGUAAAACUUUAAUUACAAGUAAAUUAGAAUCUCAAAAUUUAUAAAUUAAAUAAUAAAAAUAAUUAUUUUAUAUAGAUAUAUAUUUCUUUUAAUUAAGAAACUUGAAAAAAUAUAUUAAGUACAAAUUAUAAAUUCAAAUUUAUAAAUUAGAGGUUAUAAAUUCAUGAUAUAUGAACCUUUAUAUUACAUAGUUGUAAACCAAACAAAUUUUAUUCAAAAGCUAUAUAAGUAUAGAAUAUGUUUAUUUUUGAACAAAGUAAAACAGAAUUUAUAAUGAAAAUAAGAUUGAUCAAAUUUAAAUUUAAAGAUUAAUUAGUUUUAAAAUAAUUAUUUUAUAUAUAUGGACCAGUGUAAUUUAAUAUUUUAAAAAUUAAAUAAAUAUUUUUAUGACCAAAUAUAUAAUGUGGAUUAUUUAAAAAAAUAAAUGAAUUUAAAAUAAUUAAGACUAGCUAAACUACAAAUUAGAAGUCACAAGAUACGAUAUAUAUAAUUUAAUAUAUAUAAUUCGAUAUUAUAAAAGGGGAGAAAUUUAUAAGUCUAGCAUUUAUAUAUAUAUAAUAUAAUUUCAAUUGCAUAGGUACAUAAUAAAUUUUUUAACACUAAGAUAAUAAAAUUUUAUAGUUAUUUAUUCAAAGUUUAAAUAAUUUAUUUUGAUUAAAUAUAUUUGAAAUAUUGGAUAAUUAUUUAUCUGUGAAUUUUUUUUAUGUUUGUGUUGAAAAUAGUUUUUUUUUUUAAUUUACACAAUUAAAUAGUUUUUUAUUUUUAAUAAUAUUAAAUAAAUAUUAAAUAAAAAAUAAAUAUUAAAUAAAUAUUAAAUUUUUAAUAAUAAAUAAUAGUUUUUUUGAUAACCAAUUCUAUAGAUAACAAAUCAUUUGCUAAAAGCUCCGCCGAUCAGACCAUCUCACAUCACCGACAACGCCUCUACAGGGGCUUCAUCCACACUAUCAUCAUCACUUAUAGUUAUCAUCCUUUGAAUCAAUAAUGUAAUUUUCCUUUGAGUUCUAGAAUAUAAAUAUAUUUUUCUUUUUCCCAGUAAGUGCAUUCUUGUGCUUAUAAUUUUUUUUAGCAUUAAAUAUUUAGUUUUUUAAAAGCCUAUAAAUCCUGAUAUCGAAAAAGGUAAUUUUUCGUGUUAAUAUCAUAUUUUUUUAAUGAAAAAUCCUUACCAUCGAUCAAAUCUCAUGUAAUUGUUGUCUUUUGGUUUGUGGUUGUGGUUUAUAUGUAAUUUUUUAAGUACUUUGGAUGUGUUCGUCAAGAUUAGUUGUUUUAGCAGCUGUUAACUGUUUGAAUGACAUUUAAUGUUUAGUUGUUUUAGUAGCUUUUCAUAAAAUAGUAAAAGUUAAACUUUAUAUGAGUUAACUUUUUAUAAAUUGCUGGCUUAAUCUCUAUAAGUUAGUUCAAAAGUUAUAUUACCGAACACUAUAAAAAAAUACGUUUAACAUUUUGACCAAUCAAAAUAUUAAAAGCUACUUAAAAAACUAUUACCGAACACGACCUUUGACUUGUAGUUUUUUUGCAAGUGGUUGCUAAGCCUCAACUUGUUGUUACUGAAUUAAGAAUUUAUGUCAAGAGUUUAUUAGAAAUAUGUAGGACUUAUGAAUAUAAUAUUCCUUUAAAUUUUCACUAUUUUGACUUUUUUUAACCUGUUUCAAAGUUACUAGUUAAAUGAUGAUUGUUUAAAUAAAAUUUUAUUUAAAUAUUAUGAUUAAUAAAAUAAUUAACUGUGCCAAUCAGAUAUAAUUUUAUUAAUUUUUUUCAUUUAUAUGAAGAGUGAGAGAUCUAGAGUUCGAGUCCUCUUGAUCACAAAGUUUUCACCAAUUUAGUGAAUUAAAGAGAACUUUAUUCAUAUUGUGUAGCGCAUGGUAUUAUUUAAGCCAUUUUGGCCUUCUACUGGAUAAAAAAAAUUCACUGUAAGCAGCAAAAACUGUAAAUAAUUGCUUAUACCCAUUUCGACUACUCAUCCAACUACCCAUUUACCAACUAUCAGAAUCACAUGGUUGGUAGCCUAUUAUUGAUAACCAAAUAACUAUAUAUCCAUCUGCCACUGUCAAUCAUCACAAAUAACUAAACCAGAAUGAUUUUUAAAUGAUUAUCCAUGGUGUGUCUCCCUAAAGACAAGAAAAGGAAAAGGAAAACAUUGGACCACACCUAUGUAAGGAUGAAGGAAGGGUGUGAGGAGUGUCUCAAGUUCCUUUAACCAUAAUUUUCUUUUAUAUUUAUCUUCUAAAAUAUUGAAGAUUUUUAAUUUUGCUCCUUAAAUUUCAAGUUUUUUGCCGUACCGGCCCCAUUAUUACACGUGUAAAAUCUAAUUAUACUUUAUAUUUAGAUAAACUAUAGUUUUGGCCUUAAACUUUUCGAGUUGUUCCAAUUUCACUCUAAAUUAACUUUUAUUUUGCUGAAUUUUGCAUAUGUUAUUUAAUUGUAUCCAUAGUUUUAAAAUUGGACUUAAUUGAAAGAGACUAAAGAAAAAAUAUGAGAUCCACAUAUUUUCUGUGGGUUAAGGUAAUCCAAUAUUGUUUAACUAGCGAAAAAUGCAUUACUCUGUAUAAGGAUAAGACUUGCUCACACUCAAUAUGUAUGGGUGGUUCUAUAGACGAAACCAAUAAAAAAGAUUGUUUUUAAAAACUCUUACGCUCUAUCCUUUUUGUUUGUAUGAUAAAAAAUGCUUUCAUUUGAAACAAAUCACUUUUUGUGAUUAGUUUGUAAAUGAGUGAGUUCAUUCACUGACAUUGAGUGCAGGUAAGUCUUUCCUUUGUAUAAAGGGAAGAAAAAAAAGACAAAACAAACUUCAAAAUCAUUUAGAUUAUGUGGUAUGCUUCUAUAUUAAAGUGAAUUAUUAUUCAAAUAUGUGAAAAGUGAGAAGUCUGGAGUUCUAAUCCACUCGAUCAUAAAAACUUUCACUAACUUGGAGAAUUAAGGAAAGAAUUACUCUUAUUGUGUAGCCUAUUAAAUUAUUUUUGGCUCGUCUAAUUACUUCAUUAUGGUUACAAUUUGAAAACUUCGGAGGCAAGACCAAAUCCAUCUAAGUGGCCCUAAUUUCUUUCUUUCCUAUUCAAUUAUAAGAAUGUCUUUCAACUUUUAUAUUCACCCUACAAUAUCUUCUUCCCGCACGAGGAUAAAGAACAAAAGGAUAGUGUGAAAUACGUUGAAUUUUUAGAAUCUAAUGGGGUCUUCCCUAAAAAAAUGAUUUUAGAUUCCAUGGCACGCUGAGUGAAUUAUUAUUGGAAACACGAAGUUGUCAAGAUUCCGUGGCUUUGUUUUGCUGUUUUUGUUUUUUCUAAAUAAAUUAGAAUAUUAAUUUAUUUUUACAUGAAAUAAUAAAAACAAAAUGAUUGAAUAUAAAUUAACAAAUAGAGUAAAAGCCUUAACACCUAUAAAAUAAUAAUUGAGGAAAAUUAAUAAAAUUUAGUAAAAAACCGAUCAUAAUUGAAAUUUUGAUAUUUUAGUUGUGUUAGGCAACAGUUUUUUUGAGUAGCUUUUAACAUUUCGACUGGUUAUAACACUAAAUACUAUUUUGUAUAAUCUGAUUUCUGUAAUGACAUUAGCGCCAUUAAUAAACUAAUUGUUUCUUUUGUUACCUAUGGAUUUUAAUAUUGGAACUUUAUAGUAUGUUGCUACUUUACGAGAACAAUUGGAACAACUGGCUGAAGAGAGAACUCUAGAUGGCUUACCUAGGUAUGCGUGCUUUCUUUUAUAUCUUCUCUUAAAUUUGUUUUGAAUUGUAAUUGAACUUUGAAAAACUUUAAUCAAAUUUUCAUGGAUAACCAAUAUUGGAACUUUUUGUAAAUGUCCUUUUCAAGGAAAAUUGACUUGUUAAUAAUACAUCUAAGUUCUUUGAUUGUGAGCCAGAUUUCUCUUCCCCUUUGCAUUUGAGUUGGCCUUUUCUGUUCGGUAGCCAUUAUCAAUCCAAUAAAUCAAAUGUGGCUGGAGUUGUAUUUUAUGUAACAAUCUCUAAGAUUUAAAUGCAGUGCUACUUUUAACUUCUCUUUGAAUACAUUUCAACAGAGUUUCAAAGGCUAAGGUCAAUGAUUAUUCAGAAAAGAUUGAAGCCAUUGCUUCCAGAUUAGCUGCCCCAUUGGUGCGUUGCAUUGGAUACUUUUAAAUUAUUAAUGUGAUUGUGAACUUUAGCAACACUUCUAAAAUUAGUUGCACUAGCAGAUAUUUGAACAUAGUUCGAAGAGUAAGUUUUCUUCUUUUCAUUUCCUCCCUCAAGGGACUAAAAACUGUUGAAAUGCCAUUGCCAUUAUAAUGUGGUAGAGCUUCAAUAACUGUGAUGUAAACAGACUGAAGAUACGGGGUUAUGUUUCUGUAGAAGAAAACAUAAGAGCAAAUCUUGACCGAUUUCACUUUUGUUGAAAAGACUGUACAUAGGAUUUUGAUAUUACUGUCCACAAAUUAAUUCUUUUUUUUUUUAAUUAUCUCUUGAAUGAACUGUUCUUCUUCCCUCUCAGCUAAUAUGUUGACUUCAUGGAUUGCAAUACAUUCUCCUUGGUUUAAUUGCUUUUGUUGCCUGUUCUACUUCUUCUAACUGUUCCCCCCUUUGGUUACAGUGACUAAGCGUACUGAUUACAACUUAAAAGCAUACUAUAUGUUGUUUGUGUCAUCUAACCAUGCAUGCAAUCUAUGAUGUUGCCUCAAUUUGUUUGUCCUAUUAAUUGUCAGUAUUGGCAGUGGUUGAUGUUGUAACAUCUAACCAUUUUUUAUGCGGCUAAUUCUCAGCCUCAGAUUCGGUAUCUGAAGAGCCUUUUGCUGAGAGUUCAAUGAGCGAAAGUCCUAAAGCAGAUGGAGAAACUCAGUUCCCUUCUUCUCCUGGCUUGAGAAGAAGACUUGUGUAAUGAAUCUCUAGUUGUUAGGAUUUAUGUGAUUCAUGCAAUUUCCCUUUUGGUGUUCAUUUCUUUUUCCUCCUUCUGUUUCUAUAUUUAUUUCAUUAUGAUUUUUGUUGUUCUUUGAACAGGGCAGCCCCAAAUUUUGAUGAUAGAACUCAUGAAAUCACUCAGGUUGAUACAUCAGCCCCUGUCAAACUGGAUGCUGCAGCAAAAACACACAUUGAAAAGCACAGGUACUUUUACUGUUUGAUUGGGGUACACCCAAUCAUGAUGUGAUAAUUUCAAAGAUUACAUAGUAAUCCACUCUUAGAUCUGUAAUCUAAGUUUUUCAAGUAAAAAUGUUGCAUUUAAUUCUACAUAAAACCCAGUGGAGUUCCACAUAAACUCAUACAGCCAUUGUUUGCUAAAGAUGCAUUGACUACAGACCAAGGAUGGUCCUCUUGAGGGCAUUGGGUGAUUAUUCAUGAUUCUAUUUGUAGAGGUGUGCAUCAGUGGAUUCGGUUUGACCGAAUUAACCAGUAAUCAAAAUAGGGGAAACUAAACCAAAUUGAAUUACAUAUAUGAAUCAAACAUUUUGGUUCAGUUUGGUUGGCUCCAUACUGAAUCCUUUUGUUCUUGUGUGUGUGUGUGUGUGUGUGUGUGUUGUUUGGUUUUUUUGGUUAAAAUGAUCAUCUGAAGACCGAAACAUGGUUAACAUGUUCAUCUGAUGACUGAAACAUGGUUAACAUGGUUGGCUCCAUACCAUGGUCAUCUGAUGACCGAACCAAAUAAGAGGCCCAAAUCUUUGCUAAUCGAAUCAAACCACAUAUUUCGGUUUGGUUAGUUGGUUAUUACCAACUAAUGCACACCCUUACUCCCCUAGCUAUUUUGGCAUUUCAAUGGGAUAAUGUGUACACCAUAAGCAAGAUAGUAGUGGAAUUUUGGUGUAACAUGGUGCCCUGCUUGGCAUCAGCCUAGUAUUGUUCAGAGAGCGGGACAGAACAAGUAUUUGAGCAAGAGGGGAACUGGGAUUGGAGUGGAAGGUAAGUCAGACACCAAAUUGAUCUUUAAUAUUUAUUAUGUUUCUUUCCCUACCGAGACGAAAGCCAAAGGUGAGUCUCGUAGGUGGACGUAUUGAACCGAAAAAAGAUCUCACUCCCCUGUCUCAACUCGCUUUCCAGGGAUAAGGUGAAAAUGAAAGGUUCAUUGCAAAUUGGAGUUUAUUGCAACAGGAUUUACAUAAAUAACAAUGCUUCAAUACAUUUAAAGUUUCUUAGUCCUCCUUCUUGACUGUUGCUUAUAGUACUAUAUUUAUAACGGUACAAUGUAGUUUCCUGAAAGUAAUAUGAUUAAUGAGUAAAAUUUUCAUGAUAUAGGCAGAGAUAUUCAAAAACAUAAUUUGUUCUGCAUAUUUUCUUGCUCCAAGUUCCAAAGAUUGAAUCUAGGACUACCUAGUUGCUUCAAAGAUCAUCAACUUCUGAUUAAACUUUUGUAUCCUAUUGCAGAAAGCUUCAAGAAGACCUGACAGAUGAAAUGGUUGGGUUGGCACAACAACUAAAAGAGAGUAGUCUCUUGAUGAGCCAGUCCUUGCAAAAUACUGAAAAGGUAAUGAUUUUUGGAACCAAAUGUAUUACCUUCUGAGGAGAUGUGCAAUUGUAGCUUUGGUGAGUGAUUCUGCAUGUUCUGGGGAGGCAGCAUUAGAGGAUCGCGUAAUCCAUUAUUCUUUGUGUACAAGUUAGCUAAUGAGUAUCUCUAACAUGGUAAUGAUUUAGAAACUACUAGGAUUGUGAAGAAGUGUCAUUUUCCUUCUGCCAUUAAUUGAUUGAUGUGAAGCGUCUGAGUUCUAUCUUAAAAUUGCUCAGAUUUGUAAAUGCUGUGAAGGAGAGGUUGGGAGUGGCAAUCAGAGAGAUAUCUAUAGCAGCAUUUUUCUGAAUUUAAUCUGUGGGAAUUGAUGUUCUAUUGAGGUCUUGUAUUUUGACAUACUAAUCACUCUAUUAAGCGAUGAAAGUUGCUAGGAUAUGAAAUUCUUCUUGAUUAAUGAUGAAUUGAAGAACAACUACUGAACCAUUUCUGUACUCAUGCAGUAAUCGAUAAGCUGCUAAUUGUGUUAAUUGACUUGGAAUGGGCCCUUAAGGAAUUAACAAGUACAGAUCUAUAAAAUUGUAAAAGCCAUAAGAGGACAGGCUUUUAUAAGAAAAAUCUACCCUGUAAUUUUUUUUUCCCUACCAAUGAUUGGAUGGUGGACUCACCGACAAAUGAGGUAAGGGAAAUUGAGAAGCAACUUUCUACUUCAACCUUUUUUCUUCUUGAUAUGGUAAACAACUUGCCUUGAGCUCAUAAUUUGUUUGUAUUUUUCAAUUUUCUUUGAAAUAAUGGCAGUAGCAACUAAAACUUCUAGUUGAUGAGUGUAUGCAUCAUGAAUUUCUACAUUACCACUUAUCAUGUGGAAAUUCAGAUUUCUGUUCAUUUACGUAUUAUAGAUACUUGAAUUUAAUACUUAUCAAAAUGUGAUUGCAAAGAUCAUGUAUAUCGAUCUGGGACUAUUUUUUAAACUGAUGCUCUUCUUGUACAUGUCAGAAAGUUUUUGCAUUCAAUGGCUGUAAAAAAAGAAAUACAUAAAUUUAUUAGAUGAAGCUAAAACAACAUAUAUGCAAGUUUUUAUUUCUAGUCUCAAAACCUAAAUGUUUGUUUUGGUGCAGAUACUCGAUUCUACAGAGAACGCUAUUGAGCAAAGCUUGGCAGGCACUGGCCGUGCCAAUGUCCGAGCCUUGGAGAUAUACUCGAAAAGUUCUAAAACUACAUGCUUCACUUGGCUUCUGAUUUUUCUAAUGACAUGUGUCUUCAUCAUGGUUGUACUCCUAAUUCGCGUCACUUAGAAGUUUCUUCAAGGUAAGCAAGUUUCGACAUGGUAAUGCUGCUGUCUUGCAAUGCGAGUCAAGUGUUUAACCAUUUGUUCAAAAUCAACUGGUUUUUUAUGAAAGUGGUGCCUAAUGAUUUAAUUUUUCUACCAGAAAUCAUUUUGUGACGAUACGGAGAUUAAUGACAAAUAAUAUGUAAUAUUUUCUUAUUCUGUGUUGUUUGAGGUUAUGUUGGGAUUUAUAUUUUAAUCGACGGACAACUGAUUCUGAAAUAAGUUUAACACUCAUAUUAUGAUUGUAUUUUUUUUUCUUUUUUCUUUUUUAAUAUAAUGUCUUUUAUUUUAUUUUGAAUUAAAAUAAAUAACUAGAAAACAUUACUAAACAAAAAUUAAUUAAUUAUUUUUAUUUAUAUACCAUAUUAAAAAAAAUGAUAGAUUCAUCUGAGAAAAUAAAAAGAAUAAUUUAGCUACCAACAACAAGAAUUUACUCUAGGGUGCUUGUUUUUUAAGAGAGGACCCAUAAGGAUAUUAAAGUGUAAAUAAUUAAAAUAUCAAUAAAAGUGGCAAAGUAUUUACUCUAGGGUCCUUGUUUUUUAAGGUAAUCAGUGGUAUUAUUAUUCUUGAAAAAAAAUAAAAAAAUAAAAACCUGGUAUUAUUAAAUGUAUAUUAUUGAAAAGAAAAAUAAAAACUUUUAUCAAUAAUGAGAAAAUUAUCUACCAAUGUAUGAGGAGUGGCACUCACCAACCCCAAUUCCUACCUACUCAUCCAUAGAAUUGGUAUUAUUGUUACUCUUAUCAUGCCCAAUCAUCCAUGCAAAAUUAUUACUUUUACACAUGCAUAAAUGCAAGAUUUUAUAAUUUAAAAAAAUGUUGAUCACUCAAUAUUUUUUUAUUAAUCAAAAGGCUCAAUUGAUCGAAUAACAUAAUGAUUAAGGGAUAAUUUUUCCAUUGACUUAUCGAAUUAUUAAAAACUAGUGCGAUCGGAAAAAUUCAAACUUAACAAUCAUAUUUUUUAUAUUAGUAAAAAGAUCAACCAAAUAAUAUAUGGUUAGCCUAAAGAGGUUUUUUUUUUUUUUUUUUUUUUUGCCCCUUUUAAAGAUAUUGGGCAGAAAAUAAUAAUCAGCGGAGAUUAUAGCAUUAUUUCAUGUAAUUAAUUAAUAUAGUAUAUAAAUAAAUAAAUAAAUAUUAAUUAAAUGUUUAUAAUAAUAUUUACUAGUUAUUUAUUGUUUUUAGAUAAUUAUAUAUGAUAAUGAUAACAUAAAAAUAGUAAUUGGAAAAUAAAAUUAUUAAUGAUUUAUUAUUGAGGUGAAUAUAGCCCUGGGGAAUUGAUUAAAAAAAAAAAGGAGUUGAAAAAGUAGUUAAUGAAGAUUUAACACAUAUAAAUUAAACGUAGAAUAAAUUUGCAUGAAACAAAUAAGCUAAAUAUCCCUCUAAUAAGGAAUUGAUAGCUGAUAAAGCUUACAUAAGUUUCAAUUUACUAUUGAUCUCAUCAACUGAAUUUAGGGCUUUUUCUUAUCAAUGUAUUAUAUUUUGACUAUAUUAAUUUUAUAAAAAAAUAUAUUAAUAAAUUAUUUUUUGAAAUUAAUAUUUUAGGAUAAUCUUAUUUAUAAAAAUUUUAAAUUAAAAUAAAUAAGUAGAAAAUAUUACUACACAAAAAUUAAAUAAUUAUUUUUAUUUAUAAACUAUCAUAAACAACUAUCAUAAACAAUUAAAUAAUUAAAUAAUGAUUACUAUUAUCAACUAUCAUAAACAACUAAAUCAACCAUUUUAUUUUUCAAAUAAUCGAUUUUUAAAUAAAAACAUGAAUAUGUAUAGUUGUGAGAUCUAUUUAGAUUCAAAUGAGUUUAAAAUUUAAAAAAAAAAAUUCAAAUGAUGAAUUAGCCUAAAUUAAAAUUUUUUUAAUGCAUUUAGAGCAAUAAAAAAUUAUAGAGUAUAUAUAUAUAUAUAUAUAUAUAUAUAUAUAUAUACAUGCGCACGCGCAUAAUUUUGAAAAGAGGCAUGACCAAAUCCAUCUAGGUGGCCUUAAUAUUUUUUUUCUAUUCAAUUAUAAGAAUAUCUCUCAAUUUUUAUAUUUAUCCUACACAUAUCUUAUCCUACACGAAAAAAAAAACGAGGAUAAUGUAAGAUAUGAAUUAUAAGAAUGUCACUCAACUUUUAUAUUGACCCAACACAUAUCUUGGUUCAUGUGGAGGGAAAAAAAAGAUAAUAUAAGAUAAGUAAAGAAUUAUUAGAAUCUAAUAGGGUCUUUUCUGAUAUUAAAAUAAAUAAAAAAACUUUGUGGGACGCUCCUAUAUUAAAGUGAAUUAUUAUUGGAAAUUCAAGAGAAAUUUAAUUAUUUGCACUGAUGGCUUUGAUUUUUUUUUUUUUCUUAACAAAAUUAACAAUUCUAUUCCAUGUAAUUCAACAAUACAUAUGAAAAAUACUUGUAAUGUUAAUAAUUGUACAUUAAAAUCAGUUGCACAUUGUUAAGCUUUAACUCAUAUUAUAAUUAUUGAAAUUAUUGAGAGAGAGAAAAUAGGAAAAAAAAGAUUGAUUAAUUUAUAUUAUAAAAUAAAAAUACUAUGAACUUUGCAUAUGGUUGGAAUUGCAUUUUAUUUUAAAUUUUAACUAUAAGGUGCAAUUAAUUAUUUUAGAGUAUAAUAACAUUUUGAAUUUUACGUAUUGUUGCAAUUACACCUUAUUUUUUCCCUAAAUUUUAAUUACAAAGCGUCAGUAAUUUCAAAAUGCUGUUACAUGAUAAUUGUUAAAAGGGUUAAAUAUUUUCGGUUCCCUAAAUUAUGGCCAAAAUAACACCUAGGAUCCUCAACGUUUGAGUAAUUAUCUUGAAUGACCUAAAUAAUGUUGUCGUUAUACUACGAGGCCCUGCCAUCCAAAUUCUUACCUUUUUCCAUUUACAUGGAUUGAAAAGCAAACAUUAAGUGGGGAGUUAAAUGUUUUGGGGUCCCUAAAUUAUGACCAAAUCAACACUUAAGUCCCUCUACGUUCGAGUAAUUAUUCGUUUUUCAGUUCAUAUAAACGCAAAAAAAGUAGAAAUUUAGAUGGAAAUUCCAUUCGACGUGCCUAUCUAAGAUUUUUCCUCUUUGUGCUUUUUCUCAUAUUUGCGGAUGCGCUUUACACCCUUUGUAGCUAAGAAUUUUUCGUAUUUUGUAAUAAACAAGAAAUAACAAAAAAAAAAAAAAAAAAUGAGUUGAGAAAUUUUCUUUUUACAAAAAUGCCCUUAUAUUGCUAAAGGUUUCUUUGACAUUGUGUGGCUAUAUAUAGCAGGCACUUCACCAUUAAAAAACCAAACAUUUCUUCUCCCCUUUACAACUAAAGAGAACCAUGAAGAGCUUCUCUAUUUUCUUUGUUCUUCUCCCUCUUCUCUUGGUGAGUGAACCAUUUCUUCAUACAUUAUUCUACUUAGCACCAACCCUAAAAUUCGAUUGAAAUUAAUGGCAAAGCUAUAUGUUGCAGUCUUUUUUUUUUUUUUUUUUUUUUAUUAAAGAAAUUAAUGCAGAUAUUAUUUUUUAUUAAUUAAAUGGCUAGCUUUGUUCCUAAUAUUAUUUAUACUUUCAGCGGAACUACAUAUAAUUUUUAGUGUGACAUUUUUUUCUCUCUAAUUUUUUCGUCUUAUUUCAAGAACAUGCUUUUUUUGAUUCUUUUAGUAGUUUGGCAAUAUAUAUGGACUCAAGCUCUAAUCUUUGUUCUUUUUUUCUUUAAUAGUUUGGUAUUACUGUGGACGCGAGGAAAGAACUACUAAAAGAUCAACAUCUCAACGAUGAUAAAACUUCUAUCGAGGAAAAUGGGCCAAAAUCUAUUUUAAACCAUCUCAACGAUGAGAAGUUCGAUCCCAAACGUCCCGAGUUGUUUGGUUAUCAUUACGACGACGAUGAUAAAAAAGACAAGGCAUCAUCAUUUGAGAAGUUCGAUUCCAAACGUCCUGAGUUUUUUGGUUAUCAUUACGACGACAAUGAUAAAAAAGACAAGUCAACGUCAUUUGAGAAGUUCGAUCCUAAACGUCCUGAGUUCCUUCACUAUGGUUACAACGAUGAUGAUAACACUGACAAAUUAUCAUCUGUUCAAAAUUUUGAGCGUUGGGUUCCUCUUCCAUCAUUUCAUUAUACUUACAGCGACGAUGAUAACACAGAGAAAUCAUCGUCAUUUGAGAAAUUUGAUCCCAAACAUAAGAACUUGCUUCACUAUCACUACAACGACAACAAAGAAAAAUCAUCACCGCUCGAGCAUAAUAAGCCGUCGUCUCUCUCUGAUGAGAUCUCAGGUGGCAACAAUGAUCAUAAGGAGACCAUGUAAAUUAGGCCUCCAGAGGAGCAUAUGGGUUUUAAUGAAAUUGUAUAAUGUUCUAUGUAUUUAAACGUUAUGUCCUCUAUGUAUGGGAGUGCUUACUUAUUAAAGAAAAAUAAAAAUGGCGUCGCCAUAUAUGAUAAUUGAAUAAAAGUAACACUUCAUUUCCUUCCUCUUUUCUCAAGCAAUUUAGUUUUCUUUAUCUAUUGUCUUUGUUCGUAGCUAAACACACAAGGUUGCCAAUUUAGUCGGAUUAUGAUAAAAUAUAUGUAUUAUUAUUUGAUGAGAAAUUUUUACUUAAUAUUUAAUAUUUAAUUUUAUA